rnacentral:rRNA from 1 species
AGCUCCAAUAGUGUAUAUUAAAGUUGUUGCGGUUAAAAAGCUCGUAGUUGGAUUUUGGAGUCUACACAGUCGGUCCGGUGUAAACCGCGCACUGACAGUUGGGCUCUUCUGUCUGGACGGGGCCGGACCUCUCUUCACUGAGAGGCCGGGCUCGUCUGGGACCUUUACUUUGAACAAAUUAGAGUGUUUAAAGCAGGCGGGACCGCCUUGAAUACAUUAGCAUGGAAUAAGCACAUAGGACUUCGGUGCCAUUUGUUGGUUUUUCAGGAACCGAAGUAAUGAUUAAUAGGGACAGUUGGGGGCAUUCGUAUUUAGUAGCUAGAGGUGAAAUUCUUAGAUUUGCGAAAGACGAACUUCUGCGAAAGCAUUUGCCAAGGAUGUUUUCAUUAAUCAAGAACGA